UACGUAUGGAGCAACCGUUAUCCGGAUUUACUGGGUGUAAAGGGAGCGCAGGCGGUCUGGCAAGUCUGAUGUGAAAGGCCGGGGCUCAACCCCGGGACUGCAUUGGAAACUGUCAGACUGGAGUGUCGGAGAGGUAAGCGGAAUUCCUAGUGUAGCGGUGAAAUGCGUAGAUAUUAGGAGGAACACCAGUGGCGAAGGCGGCUUACUGGACGAUGACUGACGCUGAGGCUCGAAAGCGUGGGGAGCAAACAGG
rnacentral:rRNA from 1 species